rnacentral:misc_RNA from 1 species
GAUGAAGAAAGUAGCGAAAUGCGAUAAGUUAUGUGAAUUGCAGAAUUCAGUGAAUCAUCGAAUCUUUGAACGCACAUUGCGCCCGCCAGUAUUCUGGCGGGCAUGCCUGUUCGAGCGUCAUUUCAACCCUCAGGCCCCCAGUGCCUGGUGUUGGGGAUCGGCCCAGCCUUCCUGUAAGGCCGCCGGCCCCGAAAUCUAGUGGCGGUCUCGCUGUAGUCCUCCUCUGCGUAGUAGCACAACCUCGCAGUUGGAACGCGGCGGUGGCCAUGCCGUUAAACACCCCACUUCUGAAAGUUGACCUCGGAUCAGGUAGGAAUACCCGCUGAACUUAAGCAUAUCAAUAAGCGGAGGA